rnacentral:lncRNA from 1 species
AGAGCUAGGAGAGACCAGCGGGCGGUAGCUGCGGCGAGUGGCCUCUCCGUGCGGCACAGAGGCAAGAAGCAGCCAUCCAUCCAGAAGCAGCCUCCGUGUUCCGUUUGUCCGGAUGUCAUCGUAGGUGGCCGGCAUCUCUGGCUUUGGGGCAGCUCUGAGCUUGUUAUGACAGCGGCUGAAGGCGCUUGAAUUGCUGUUUGCGGUGCCUACUAAUUGGACUGAAGGGCUGGAGUCUGGACACUGAAAGGGACCAUUGUCGCUGUUUGCCUUCCACGGCUGCCUCCCUGGGACCCUCUGGUUGAGGGGAGUCGCAUACCCGCAGGUCGUGGCACCCAUGCUCUGUGACCAUGCAAGGGUACCCUGUGGGGACACUGCACAUCAUUGUCUUGUCUGGGCUUCUCCCCUGGGGGCGGGUGGGUGCUCCACCCUCCCGCCCACUCUCUGAGGACAUGAGGAACAUGGUAUCCAGCACCACGGACAGCUCCCAGCGGUGAGUGAGCCUGCUGACCCCUGUAGGAAAAUGGUGGUUUUGUCUAUUCCAGGCAGACAUCCUGCACUACAUUCCAGAUCUGAUGAGGCAUGGCUGCCCCAGGAUUACUGGGCUCGGACGGGAGCAGUGGUAGGAAGGAUCCUAUAUAAGUCAUGUGAGACAUAGAAUGUUCAGAUCAACUGAAGCUGAAACAAGCCUUUGGCAUCAUAUAUAACCCAGAAAGGGACAAAGCUGCCAUGCCAUUCUUGUGUCUGCACCAUCCUCAGUACCCGGCGCCAAAGACCCAUAGGGCAGUGAGACUGAUCCCAGAGGACUCAAGGCUAUGGGUGAUGUCGAAGGUGCGGAAGAAUCAAGUUGGAAAGACCAGCAGGAGACAGACAGAGUAAGGUUCCUUGAAUGCUUGGUUUAUGUGCCUGGCUGGAGGAGACACCCAUGGCCUUGCAGAGGGAGCGUUCUGGUGGGAAAGCAGACACAACCCACCCUAGGCCCGUGGUUUCCCUGCAAGAAGCCCAGUGGCUUUCUGGAGGACACUUUUCCUGGAGGAAGUGACUCAAGAGCAGCAUAAGCCAGGCUCUAUGGAAUGUUGGGUGAGCUGCUUGAGGAACUCCAAGGCCUGUCCCACAGUCUUCCAGCCUCCGACUCUCCGGCCCUCAGCGAGGAAGUCCCACUGGUUUUUUUGGUUGGUUUUUUUUUUUUUUUUUAAGGUUUUUUGGUUUUUUUUUUUUUUUCUCAUUCCUGUCUUGGGAGCUUUCCCCAACCAGGAGAGUGAAGAUGGGCGGAGCUGUCACACCAACUGUUAGCCUGCCUUGGCUGAGAGGAGAGGAGGCGAGGAGGGAGCGACCACCCAGCUUUAGUCGUUUUAAAACAGCUCCUGACCCUAGAAGAAGGGAAAUGGAGAUGAAGACCCAAUUGACUUGAGAGAGUGAUCUUUCAGCAGACUGAUCGAACACACAGGCUUCUCAGCCCACUCCCUCCAGUCAAGGUUAAGGCCUGGCAAAGGUGGAGGAAGAGAAGCUGAGGAGAAAAAGGCGAGGAGAGCCUAGGCACAGGAAGGUGACCGCUUCCCUCCCUCCCAGUGCUGAUUUCCUGUGGACCAGAUUCCAGCACAGUGGAGGGCCAGAGCUCAGGGAACAGACCCAGCAGCACAGCAAGUCUCCAAGGAAAGCUCUAGCAGUCUCCAGGGGCUGAAGGCAGGACUGGGGAAGCGGCUAGCCAGGCUGCAGAAGGCAAAUGCUCCCAGACGGCUGUCCAGCACGCAUCCGCCUUCCUAGCCAAGUUUCCUGGGCUCCUGCCACAGAUCUAAGCCUCAUCCUGACAUCCUGCCCUCUGUGCUCUGGGAUGGCCCAGGGGAGAUGCUUAGCCUUGGCUCCUUGUCUGCUGGUGGAGGGGACACACACCCUUUCUGGACCACAGACCAAAAAGAAGACCUGACGUCAUCCUGAGCACCCCCGCCAUGCAGAGUGUGUUCGCAGACUGCCAACGGGCUGGCUCCGGCCAGCAGAAGUGAACAGAGGUGGAGGUUCAGCCUGACAGCUUCUCCCCAAAGCCAUGGAGAGAAAACCUUACCACCCCCACCGCCCAGCUACUUCCAGCAAGUUGUCCAGCCUGACCCCUCUAUUUCCCCUGUUGUCUCUUAUCUGGGUCCCUGAGACCCACCCCAUCUCCAAUAAAGAACAUUGCAUACUGUG